rnacentral:rRNA from 1 species
AUGGUUUCCUUUACCUGUGGAGGCCCUGGUCACUAUGUUGGGAACUGUGUUCAGAAGAAGAACUGUUUCAUCUGUGGAUUGGAGGGGCACAAUGUCAACAAUUGCGUGGCUUGCGCGCAGCCUCAUCCAGUUGCUACGUUCUUCGGUAGCUCUGCUUUGGGAUUGGGCUUCUACCACAAUGAUGCUCCUAUGGGUCGUGAAGCAAAUUGGCUCAACUUUAGGAACUAUGGAGAAGUUUGGGUCAUGAAAGGAGAAAUCAACAAGUCUGAUCUGGUUAAGAAUUUAUCUGGGAUUUUCUGCAAAAAUAAACAAUGGACAUGGCAGAUCAUGCCACUGACAGAAAAGAAGUUCCUGGUCAGAUUUCCCUGGAAAGAUGUGGAAGAGUUGAUUGAGUUCCCUGCCUUUGACUUGCCUAUCUAUGGAGUAUCUGUGUCUGUUGAGAGAUGGACCGGUGCUAUUGACCCAUUCAGCGAGCUUAUUGAAGUCUGGGUUACUAUUGAGGGGCUCUCCUCUAAGUGGUGCACAUGGAAAGUUCUGUCACAAAUUACCUCUUGCUUUGGAAUCCUUGUAGAUGUGGAUUGGAAUGGCCUAAUGAAGAGAUUCUAAGAGAAAGUAAGAGUCAAGAUUGCUUGCAGAGACCCAGCCAAGAUUCCCUUUGAACGGAUUAUGGAGAUGAGGAAAAAACUAUACAUUUUAUCCUUUACAGUGGAAGGUUUUGAGCAGAUAGGUGCUGAUGAUCCUAAUGACGAUAAUGGCCCUACUGACAUAUCUGUGGACGAUGAUAACAAAGUUGACGAUGAGGAGAUUGACAAGGACAUCCUGGAUGAUGGAGAGGAACCCAUAGAUGAUUUGGACCUGGACAUCCUGGACAUCUUGGGCUAA